rnacentral:rRNA from 1 species
CCUACGGGAGGCAGCAGUGGGGAAUUUUGGACAAUGGGCGAAAGCCUGAUCCAGCAAUGCCGCGUGCAGGAAGAAGGCCUUCGGGUUGUAAACUGCUUUUGUACGGAACGAAACGGUCUGCUUUAAUACAGUGGGCUAAUGACGGUACCGUAAGAAUAAGCACCGGCUAACUACGUGCCAGCAGCCGCGGUAAUACGUAGGGUGCGAGCGUUAAUCGGAAUUACUGGGCGUAAAGCGUGCGCAGGCGGUUAUAUAAGACAGUUGUGAAAUCCCCGGGCUCAACCUGGGAAUUGCAUCUGUGACUGUAUAGCUAGAGUACGGUAGAGGGGGAUGGAAUUCCGCGUGUAGCAGUGAAAUGCGUAGAUAUGCGGAGGAACACCGAUGGCGAAGGCAAUCCCCUGGACCUGUACUGACGCUCAUGCACGAAAGCGUGGGGAGCAAACAGGAUUAGAUACCCUGGUAGUCCACGCCCUAAACGAUGUCAACUGGUUGUUGGGUGCAUUAGUACUCAGUAACGAAGCUAACGCGUGAAGUUGACCGCCUGGGGAGUACGGCCGCAAGGUUGAAACUUAAAGGAAUUGACGGCUGAGAGNGCGAGACGACGACGAGGGAGGAGG